rnacentral:rRNA from 1 species
UGGGGAAUAUUGGACAAUGGGCGAAAGCCUGAUCCAGCCAUGCCGCGUGUGUGAAGAAGGUCUUCGGAUUGUAAAGCACUUUAAGUUGGGAGGAAGGGCAGUAAGCUAAUACCUUGCUGUUUUGACGUUACCGACAGAAUAAGCACCGGCUAACUCUGUGCCAGCAGCCGCGGUAAUACAGAGGGUGCAAGCGUUAAUCGGAAUUACUGGGCGUAAAGCGCGCGUAGGUGGUUUGUUAAGUUGGAUGUGAAAGCCCCGGGCUCAACCUGGGAACUGCAUCCAAAACUGGUAGGCUAGAGUACGGUAGAGGGUGGUGGAAUUUCCUGUGUAGCGGUGAAAUGCGUAGAUAUAGGAAGGAACACCAGUGGCGAAGGCGACCACCUGGACUGAUACUGACACUGAGGUGCGAAAGCGUGGGGAGCAAACA